UUUCACAUAUAUGUGAGCUUGAUUCACAUAGAUGUGAAUCAAGUGAAUUUGAUUCACUUGUUGUGAAUCAAGGUCACAUAUAUGUGAAA
rnacentral:miRNA from 1 species